rnacentral:rRNA from 1 species
GACGAACGCUGGCGGCGUGCCUAAUACAUGCAAGUCGAACGCAGUGGGGACGGGGGAGUAAAACGUGGGUAACCUCCCAUCAGAGGGGAUAACACUUGGAAACAGGUGCUAAACCGAUACUGAUGGAUGGACCCGCGGUGCAUUAGCUAGUUGGUGAGGUAACGGCUCACCAAGGCCACGAUGCAUAGCCGACCUGAGAGGAUGAUCGGCCACCCUGGGAAUGAGACACGGCCCAGACUCUUACGGGAGGCAGCAGUAGGGAAUCUUCGGCAAUGGACGAAAGGCUGACAGAGCAACGCCGCGGGAGUGAAGAAGGGUUUCGGAUCGGAAAACUCUGUUGUUAUAGAAGCGGUACCUAACCAGAAAGCCACGGCUAACUACGUGCCAGCAGCCGCGGUAAUAC